UACGAAGGGGGCUAGCGUUGUUCGGAUUUACUGGGCGUAAAGCGCGUGUAGGCGGGCCGCUAAGUUAGGGGUGAAAUCCCGGAGCUCAACUCCGGAACUGCCUCUAAGACUGGUGGCCUGGAGCAGAGGAGAGGCGAGCGGAAUUCUGAGUGUAGAGGUGAAAUUUGUAGAUAGUCGGAGGAACUCCAGUGGCGAAGGCGGCUCGCUUGACUCUUGGUGACGCUGAGACGCGAAAGCGUGGGGAGCAAACAGG
rnacentral:rRNA from 1 species